UAUUUACUAAAAAAUAAAAAUUCUAACGUAGCUAUAUAUUCUAACGGUUACGCAUUUAAGACGAAACGCUCUUCACUGGCGGAGGUAAUUUCGAACUCCCGCUAUUUUUGUCGGAAUAAUGCGCCAAAUAAACUGAAGUGUUGUUUCGUUUAUUUAAGCCGGCCUAAAGGAGCUAACAAAGAUAUCAUCAGUCCACAAAGGAAUCAACCAGUGAAGGAGAAAAACAUUCAAAGCUGUAAAUUGCCAAAUCCAUCACCGGACUUAAGGAGCUAACAAAGAAAUCAUCAGUCCACAAAAGAAUCAACCAGUGAAGGAGAAAAACAUUCAAAGCUGUAAAUUGCCAAAUCCAUCAGUUGGAAGAUGGAUGUCAAAGUCUCAGACAAAAGCUUCCAGAGUUAAGAAAAGAUCACUUCAACAAAAACAAGCACGAGAAGAAUGACUGCAAAAAAUAUUUUCGCAGAUGCGUUUCCUCAUCAAGUGUAUAAGGAAAACGGACCUGUCUACAGAGACUAGAUGUAAAUGUCAAGGACUGAAAUGAGCAAUUCAAUGGCUCAUUUCUAAUUGUGUUAAGUGUCAUAAAAAAUUAAAACUGUUAUAAAUGGACAUGUAGUAAUGAUGAAAUUAUCAUCCUGUUGCGAAUAACAUUUACUUAUUCAUGAACUUAGUUCAUGAAUGACAUUUUGAAAAAAUCAUGUUCAUUAACUGUCAAGUUCAUUAACUAAGUGGGAGUUCAUGAACAUGAUUUGUCCAAAUUGUCAUUCUUGAAUAGUUCAUGUUAUUCUCAAAAAGCACACGCUUGAUGUCACUGACAUGGAUAUUAAUUUGAUGGACUAAAGAAGCUCCAUACAUGGAAAAUGACAAAUGCGAAUCAAUUAAUACCCUGUCUAGAAUAAAAAAUAACAACUGUAUAACUAAUUUUAUCAGUAAAUACAAAACUGUGAGUCUAGCCCGCUGAUGCCAAAAAUUAAGUCAUUAAUAACUAUGCAUUUAAACUCCAGAAUGACCUUUAUGAACCAUUAAUGUACAGGUGAUAUUUAUUGUUUCUUAAAUACAAUAACUUAUAAACUGUGUUAGUUUGAAUUUUUUAUCCAUGUUUUCAUGCACAUUGGUUAAAAGUACAUGUUUGAAAAAUAUAAUGAUAUAAUUAAAGAGAGAUAACUGUUUUACUUGCGUUUAUGCUGUAAGAGCGUAGAAGGGCAUGUGAGUGAAUUUCAUAAAGCAUGUUAGAGCAUCUUGGGUCAUUUGCUUGCUUACCCUACUGCAUUCAUACAGCAUAAAAGCAGUAAAAUGUGAGCAUUACUUAUAAUUUUAAUACAUAAUAAAAAAAUGUUCAUUUCGGUUAAACAGUAGGAGUACUUUUAUCUUGUUCUGUGCGUAUCGCAGGCAGAAAAAGGACUUGCAGUUUACUCUAGAUUGAUCAUGGUGUUAAAGACCUUCGCCAACAGUUAUGUAUUAAAUAAUGCAAUUGAGUAUUUGUUCUUUUAGAAAUGUAACCAACAACAUAUGUUGGUAUGAAAGAAUAGCUGAUUUUGUAAUGUAUUAUAAUAUAUUUGUUUUAAAUGACUAAUCCUUAAUUAAGAAAAGUAAUCUACAUUUCAUGAUGAAAUGGAAUUGGUUGCGUAAAA